GAUGAACGCUGGCGGCGUGCCUAAUACAUGCAAGUCGAGCGAACGGACGAGAAGCUUGCUUCUCUGAUGUUAGCGGCGGACGGGUGAGUAACACGUGGAUAACCUACCUAUAAGACUGGGAUAACUUCGGGAAACCGGAGCUAAUACCGGAUGAUAUUUUGAACCGCAUGGUUCAAAAGUGAAAGACGGUCUUGCUGUCACUUAUAGAUGGAUCCGCGCUGCAUUAGCUAGUUGGUAAGGUAACGGCUUACCAAGGCAACGAUGCAUAGCCGACCUGAGAGGGUGAUCGGCCACACUGGAACUGAGACACGGUCCAGACUCCUACAGGAGGCAGCAGUAGGGAAUCUUCCGCAAUGGGCGAAAGCCUGGAGCAACGCCGCGUGAGUGAUGAAGGUCUUCGGAUCGUAAAACUCUGUUAUUAGGGAAGAACAUAUGUGUAAGUAACUGUGCACAUCUUGACGGUACCUAAUCAGAAAGCCACGGCUAACUACGUG
rnacentral:rRNA from 1 species